GAUGUUACAAGAGAGCAAGGGGAUGAAGAUGGCACUUGGACCUAGCCAGGGAGCAGAUGGACAGUAAAACUGUGUCUUUACUGGGAAGAGGCUCAGCCCCCACGCUGUGUCAGAGUGGAAGAGGAGACUUGAGGACAACUCAGGUUGUCAUCCUGGGAGGCCUGGGGUCCUCAGAGAUGACUGCCCCUGAAUCACCUGCAGCCCAUGGGGCCUGGAUGAAGACCCCCCCCCAUCUGCUCUGUUAGUUACCCCAGUGUCCUGGGUCACAUCCAUCUCUUUCUGGAACCACAUCUUCUCAGUUCCCAGCCUCCUCCCUUCCCAAUUUGAAGGUGGGGUGAGUUAUGUUUAUUUACUUUAGUUUCAGCAUGAGUCACCCCCAAAACACACUGCUCCCCCCAUGUGCAUGGUGGCCCCGAAUGGGGGGACAAUGCCCCCUCUUCCAGGAAAGUGGGAACCUCACUGAGGAUGACAGCAGAAGCCCCCACGGCACUCUCCCGCAUCCCCAUCCCCUCCUCCACCUCCCUGCCCCUCCACCCCUCCACCUCUGUGCCUCCCUCUGAAUCUGACUCCCCUUUGCCUGUUUCUCCACAGAUCUAUGUCCUUCUUUGUCUCCGCAUCUCUCUCUCCAUCGCUCUGUCUUUAUCUCUCAUCAUCUCUCUGAGUCUCCUUCUCUCUCCCAUCUAGGCCUCCCCUUCUGUCUCUGUGUCCCCCAUUCCCUCCCUGUCCCUCUGUCCUCCCUGCCUGUGGGUCUCUGUACUGUGGCCCCUUGCAACUCCCCUCUGCCUUCUCUCCCUACUCCCCUCAUCUGUCUCUCCCUCUCUGCCCUCUCCCCUUCCAGCACCCC